GACGUAGGGCGCGAGCGUUGUCCGGAUUUAUUGGGCGUAAAGAGCUCGUAGGCGGCUUGUCGCGUCGAAUGUGAAAUCUCGGGGCUCAACUCCGGAUCUGCGGUGGGUACGGGCAGACUAGAGUGAUGUAGGGGAGACUGGAAUUCCUGGUGUAGCAGUGAAAUGCGUAGAUAUCAGGAGGAAUACCGAUGGCGAAGGCAGGUCUCUGGGCUAUAACUGACGCUCAUGCACGAAAGCGUGGGGAGCAAACAGG
rnacentral:rRNA from 1 species